UGAUUUUUACAGCCUGGCUCGUCUGUCAAAACAAAUAACUCCUCCAGCAGCCUGAUUCGGAAAUAGAAGGGGAUAUCUCCCUUGGUUUGUCCGUCUGGUUCAAAAGGAAAAAGAAAGGGGGGCAUUCGUCUGGCUCGGCUGGAAAAUAGGGAUGCCAGCCUGUAAGAUAUUGUCAAGUCAAGUUGGAGUUAGUAGUGUGGGCUGAACCGAAUAUCAGCUGAACCAAAUACCAGUUGGCGACGAUUCGAUUUGUAAAUCUUUCGACUUGUAAGUCUUGUAGUAAUUCCAAGUGCUUCCUCUACUUAUAGAAAUAUAUAAUUUAAUUAAUUGAUUUAUAUUGCAAAAAGAAGUCUUCCAGCCUGGUUCUAUGGGCUCCAGCUUGGUUUUUUUUUUUUUGAGAGUCUUCUGAUUCUCUCUCCCGUCUCAUCUCGUUCUCUCUUUCUCGCCCCUUUCUUUCCGUCGAGCAGAAUACGGCGGCCAUCACCGUUGUGCCGUCUCAUGAAUGGACGGCGUGGUUCAGGUUCUCGCUUUGCCAGAAGGGGGAAGGUUGGCGGCGCUUGGCGCACCUAGGGUUUUUCAAGCGCGGCCUGCGGGUUGUUGGGCGAGCGGUGGUCGGAGGCGACGCCCUUCGCCGGAUAGUCGAAGGAGGAGAAAUUUGUUGGCCGGAUUUGUGCUUGUUCGAGAGAUUUGUGCGAGGGCGAAGAGAAGAGUGAGAGAGGGCAGCGGUGGCUGCGAUUUGGGGAUCCGGGGUUCAGGGUGGUGCUGCUGCUCAAUCGACGGCGGCGGUAACUGCGACGAAAAGGGGGUCGAGAGAGAGGAGUGAGACCGAGCGGCGAUUUUGCCAGAGGUCGAAACUUGGAGGGGAUGGCUCCCAUUUUCUCUUUGCGUAUUAUCAAUCGAUGUGGCUCGAGCGGACGUGCGAUGUCACCGGAGUUCAGAGGGCAAUUAAUCGAAAGUAGAAAUGGGGGAUUUCGGGUUCGAAACUUAUUGACUGCUGAAUUGGAGAUUUUCAGGUGUAGGUGGCAGCGCCUCUGCUCAAUUGAUGGCGGCGGUAGCUGAGAUUGAAAGGGAGACGAGAGGGAGGAGCGAGACAGUUGGGCGAUGUCACCGGGGGUCGAAAACUUGGAGGGCAAUUAGAGAAAAUAGGAAUGGGGGCAGCGUUGGCGGCGUCGCUCGCUGCUUGAUUCGAGAAGACGGGGCGGUGCGCGCCUGUGAGGAAAAAGAGAGAGGAGGAGCCGAGGGAUGAAGGCGGCGGCCGGCUGUUGCCGGAAGACAGAGAGAGGUGGCGGCAGCACUUUUCGCCGUUGUCGUCUUGAUGGUGGCGAGUAGCACCUGUAAGUCUUAGGGCUCGGGUGCGAGGCCCCCGACUCGGUUCCUUGACCAUUUUUUCCAGAAUUUGAGUAGGCUGUGAGAGAGGGAGCUUUGCAGCAGGAAAGAGGCUGGAAGGGAGGAAGCAAGAAGGAUAUCUUUUCACUGAUCAGUGGCUUUUGUUUUGUAUACUAAGGUGGAGGAGAUAGUUCACUGUUUAGCAUUUUAUAUACUGUUUUUCUUGUCGAAGCUACAUGUAUGGUUUGAUAGCUUUGAUCUGUCGAAUUGUGCAUACAUGUCUUGAUUUUGAUUUUUGGUUUGGAUUGCGCGGAUCUGUGAGAGUUAUUUUGUAUCUAGUAGUAGAUAGUGUAUUGAUUUACUUUAUUGGACAGUGCUGAGUUUCUAUUUUGAAAA